rnacentral:rRNA from 1 species
GAUGAACGCUGGCGGCGUGCCUAAUACAUGCAAGUCGAGCGAACAGACGAGGAGCUUGCUCCUCUGACGUUAGCGGCGGACGGGUGAGUAACACGUGGAUAACCUACCUAUAAGACUGGGAUAACUUCGGGAAACCGGAGCUAAUACCGGAUAAUAUAUUGAACCGCAUGGUCCAAUAGUGAAAGACGGUUUUGCUGUCACUUAUAGAUGGAUCCGCGCCGCAUUAGCUAGUUGGUAAGGUAACGGCUUACCAAGGCAACGAUGCGUAGCCGACCUGAGAGGGUGAUCAGCCACACUGGAACUGAGACACGGUCCAGACUCCUACGGGAGGCAGCAGUAGGGAAUCUUCCGCAAUGGGCGAAAGCUUGACGGAGCAACGCCGCGUGAGUGAUGAAGGUCUUCGGAUCGUAAAACUCUGUUAUUAGGGAAGAACAAAUGUGUAAGUAACUAUGCACGUCUUGACGGUACCUAAUCAGAAAGCCACGGCUAACUACGUG